rnacentral:rRNA from 1 species
CCUACGGGAGGCAGCAGUGGGGGAUAUUGCACAAUGGGGGGAACCCUGAUGCAGCGACGCCGCGUGGGUGAAGGAGUGCUUCGGCAUGUAAAGCCCUAUCGGCAGGGAAGAAGCAAGACGGUACCUGACUAAGAAGCCCCGGCUAACUACGUGCCAGCAGCCGCGGUAAUACGUAGGGGGCGAGCGUUAUCCGGAUUCACUGGGUGGAAAGGGAGCGUAGACGGCCAUGCAAGCCAGGGGUGAAAGCCCGGGGCCCAACCCCGGGACUGCCCUUGGAACUGCAUGGCUGGAGUGCGGGAGGGGCAGGCGGAAGUCCUGGUGUAGCGGUGAAAUGCGUAGAGAGCAGGAGGAACACCGGCGGCGAAGGCGGCCUGCUGGACCGCGACUGACGUUGAGGCUCGAAAGCGUGGGGAGCGAACAGGAUUAGAUACCCUUGUAGUC